UACAGAGGUCUCAAGCGUUGUUCGGAGUUACUGGGCGUAAAGGGUGUGUAGGCGGUUUUUUAAGUUUGGUGUGAAAUCUCCCGGCUCAACUGGGAGGGUGCGCCGAAUACUGAAAGACUAGAGUGCGGGAGAGGAAAGUGGAAUUCCUGGUGUAGCGGUGAAAUGCGUAGAUAUCAGGAGGAACACCGGUGGUGUAGACGGCUUUCUGGACCGUAACUGACGCUGAGACACGAAAGCGUGGGUAGCAAACAGG
rnacentral:rRNA from 1 species